UGCACAGAUUUUCGUCUCACCUUGGCAUUUAACCAACAUAAGACAAUAUGAUUCUUAUUUUUUCAUAUUUAUAUUUCCUGGUACCUGGUAGUAGCCUGAGGUAAAGUCGAGACUGGUGAAAUAUUUCUUGCCACGCAGGGACUGAAAAAUAUCAUCAAUGCGAGUUUGUGGCCACUGGAUCUUUUUGGUAAUACGGAUAAGGGACCUGUAGUCUACCGUAAAUCUUUGAGAGGUCAGGUUGCCGUCGUCAUCCUUUUUCGGGACGAAAAAGCAAGGAGAGGACCAUGACCCACGGAUGGGACGUACAAUUCCUUGGGCUAAAAGUUUGUCGACGUGACUUUUGAUGUCUCUGUGAAUCUUUUCUGGGUGAUUAAAUUGUUGCAUUCUAAUGGGAGGAUGAUCUCCGGUGUCAAUAUCGAAUUCUACACGGUCGGUUCGCCCUAAUUUGGUUGGGUCCCAUGAAAAAAUAUGCUUAAAUUCCGUGAUCAGAGAAAGCAACUUGGCCCUCGUAGAAGGCGAAAUGUUGGGAUUGAUUUUGAGUUUGGUCAGAUCCAUAAGAAAAGGUGGCGGUGAAAGUUCAGCUGCAGCUACCGGUGGUGGAGAAAGUGCGGCUGGUGGUGAAAGUAGGGCUGAUGGUAAUGGCGGUGGUGGUGGCCGUGAGGGCCCCGAGGCUGCUGGUGAACUUGUUAGGGAUGGCAGAAGUGGUUGGGGUUUGGGGGGUUGUUCUGGUUGUGUCGCGGGAGUCCGCUGAGACGCAUCAAGUAAUUUCAUGUCCAUAUUUCUGUUUAGUGAUUGCAUAAUUUCUUUGUUAUCGCAGGAAUGGAAUAAUCGUUGCGGGGCGCUUGUAUACGGGACGGAACCAAGGAUAGGAGACAUUAAACAGCGAAAGGAUUCGUUGCUGGAGGAAAUGUUCUUGAAAAUCAUGCCCAAGAAGAAGAGGACACGGUGAUGAGGGGACGACGAAAAACGGGGAGGAUGCUCGACGCGGAAUGAUCUGGGUCAGGGGCCGAGGGGAGGUGCGACAGCGGAAGUGGAUCACUAUUGGUAUCUCCAAAGUCAUCAGUCACAACACCGCACUGAGAACUGUCUGUGGGGCUGACGAUCUGGUGUUCACGGUCAGAGUCAGGGUCAAUAGGGUCACGUAAAUGGUCAAAACGUCGGCCAGAAACAAAUACACUUUCGGGAGCUUCGAGCAGGUUUGACGGGGGAGGUGAGGGGUCAGUGCGUCGACUGAAAAAGUUCCAAAGGGGCAUCGUCGUGGAAAAAUUGCAUUAUGUUUGUCAGGAAAGGAUGUGUACUUAAUUUUGAAUAAAUUGUAUAAUUUGCACUUUAA